CAUUUCCUGUUUUUUCUUCAUCUGCUUCCUGUUAUUGAUCACAGCCGAUCAAUCGAUGUGUGUGUGCGUGUGUGUGGCCACAACAAUACUUACUGUCCCACCUCAUGACUGAUUAUCAAUCAUUGACUCGAUUGUUUAUAUCUGCAUUGUUAAAUGGGGCGAACACGGGAACAGCUUCCUGUAAGUGAAGCGUAGAAGAAGAAGGAGAAGGAGACGUCGCAGGUCAGCUGACAGAGGAAGCUAAGACAGUAACCUCCGUCAGACUGAGACACCGAGACAAGACAGAAGACAGGAGGAAGCUAACACAGUUAUCAAUAAACCUCCGUCAGACCGAGACACCGACAGAAGACAGGAGACAUGUCCUUCAUCACCGCCAACUGGAACCCGCUGGGAGACGCUUUUUACCGUAAGACAGAGCUGUACGACAUGUGCUGGAACCUCAGAGACUCAGGACUCAGAGACAGUCUUGUUGCUGCCGCUCCGUAUGGAGGACCAAUAGGUACACACACACACACACACACGGACACAGACAGAG